GAUGAACGCUAGCGGCAGGCUUAAUACAUGCAAGUCGAGGGGCAGCAGGACUGUAGCAAUACAGUUGCUGGCGACCGGCAAACGGGUGCGGAACACGUACGCAACCUACCCAAAACUGGGGGAUAGCCCGGGGAAACCCGGAUUAAUACCUCGUAACCUUUUUAAGUGGCAUCACUUGAUAAGUAUAGCUCCGGCGGUUUUGGAUGGGCGUGCGCCUGAUUAGGUAGUUGGUGCGGGUAACGGCCCACCAAGCCUGCGAUCAGUAACUGGUGUGAGAGCACGACCAGUCACACGGGCACUGAGACACGGGCCCGACUCCUACGGGAGGCAGCAGUAAGGAAUAUUGGCCAAUGGACGCAAGUCUGAACCAGCCAUGCCGCGUGAAGGAUGAAGGUCCUCUGGAUUGUAAACUUCUUUUAUGGGGGACGAAACCCGGAUAUUCUUAUCCGAUUGACGGUACCUCAGGAAUAAGCACCGGCUAACUCCGUG
rnacentral:rRNA from 1 species